rnacentral:rRNA from 1 species
AGAGAUGCUUUGGUGCCUUCGGGAACUCUGAGACAGGUGCUGCAUGGCUGUCGUCAGCUCGUGUUGUGAAAUGUUGGGUUAAGUCCCGCAACGAGCGCAACCCUUAUCCUUUGUUGCCAGCGGUCCGGCCGGGAACUCAAAGGAGACUGCCAGUGAUAAACUGGAGGAAGGUGGGGAUGACGUCAAGUCAUCAUGGCCCUUACGAGUAGGGCUACACACGUGCUACAAUGGCGCAUACAAAGAGAAGCGACCUCGCGAGAGCAAGCGGACCUCAUAAAGUGCGUCGUAGUCCGGAUUGGAGUCUGCAACUCGACUCCAUGAAGUCGGAAUCGCUAGUAAUCGUGGAUCAGAAUGCCACGGUGAAUACGUUCCCGGGCCUUGUACACACCGCCCGUCACACCAUGGGGGUGGGUUGCAAAAGAAGUAGGUAGCUUAACCUUCGGGAGGGCGCUUACCACUUUGUGAUUCAUGACUGGGGUGAAGUCGUAACAAGGUAAGCGUAGUGCU